CUUGCUUCCUUUUACUUUUCUAUUUCUGUUUCUAUCUUAUAGCUCCCCUCUUAAAUAUGUUCUAUAGUGGGCAAUAUGGUGAACAUAUCUGUUUCUCCUUCAUCAGACUAUAGGUUUGUGAAGGAGAAGACGUUAUUCAUCUUUUUUCUCCAUGGCCAAGGGCUGACUUGAGCAUGUAAUUAAAAAUUCAAUAGGAAAUUUGAAGAUGUCAAACUACCAUAUGAUCUUGAAUAAAGACUAUACGGUUCAAGUCACCUUGAAUAUAGCUCUCAGUACCACAUGUCAGCAGCCAGAAUAAAACCUGUAAGAGAAGCUGAGAAGAACUGGGGCUCAAAUGAAGAAUUGAGGAACUCUGUGUUCCUUUGAAACAGUUUAGUUCUUCUACCAAUGACAUUUGGAACAAAUUGUGUUUAUCGCCAAAGUGAGGGGAAUAAAAGUUUGACAGAGUGAGUUACCCAGGCAAUUCUUAACUUCUACAUGUCAGUGCUAUUAAAGAUAACAUAUUCUUCUCCCA